rnacentral:rRNA from 12 species
CUGUGCGGCCGCAUCCGAGUACGAGUGCCCGAUAGCGUCUGAUCUCGGAAGCUAAGCAGGGCUGUGUGUGGUUAGUACUUUGAUGGAAGACCAACUUGGAAAACCAGGGGGUGCUAGC